CCCUUAGAUGUCCUGGGCUGCACGCGCGCUACACUGAUGUGUCCAGUAAGCACCUAACCUCUUCCGAAAGGAACGGGUAACCUUUGCAAAGCACAUCGUGAUGGGGAUAGAUUAUUGCAAUUAUUAGUCUUGAACGAGGAAUUCCUAGUAAGCACAAGUCUUCAGCUUGUGUUGAUUACGUCCCUGCCCUUUGUACACACCGCCCGUCGCUCCUACCGAUUGAAUGUUCCGGUGAGCUCUUCGGACUGCGCGGUCUGCAGUUUCUGCGUUCCGUGCGGAAAGUUGCGCAAACCUUAACAUUUAGAGGAAGGAGAAGUCGUAACA
rnacentral:rRNA from 1 species